UACGUAGGUGGCAAGCGUUAUCCGGAUUUAUUGGGCGUAAAGGGAACGCAGGCGGUCUUUUAAGUCUGAUGUGAAAGCCUUCGGCUUAACCGGGGUAGUGCAUUGGAAACUGGGAGACUUGAGUGCAGAAGAGGAGAGUGGAACUCCAUGUGUAGCGGUGAAAUGCGUAGAUAUAUGGAAGAACGCCAGUGGCGAAAGCGGCUCUCUGGUCUGUAACUGACGCUGAGGUUCGAAAGCGUGGGUAGCAAACAGG
rnacentral:rRNA from 1 species